UUACUAAAAAAUAUCAAAUGAUAAAAUAAAAAAAUAUUAAAAAUCAUUUUUAGAAAGUAGAAAUUAAAAGGAGAAGAAUGAAAUUGGUCCCAUAAUUUUUGGACCAAUAAUAAGAGAGAUAUGAAUUUUAGAAAUAAAAUGGAAUUAAAAGAAAUAAAAGAAAUUAAAAUCAGAAAUAAGAAAAUAUGGAAAAACACGGAGCGUUG
rnacentral:lncRNA from 1 species